rnacentral:rRNA from 1 species
GACGAACGCUGGCGGCGUGCUUAACACAUGCAAGUCGAACGCUGAAGCCCUCCGGGGUGGAUGAGUGGCGAACUGGUGAGUAACACGUGGGUAAUCUGCCCUGCACUCUGGGAUCAGCCUUGGAAACGGGGUCUAAUACCGGAUAGGACACAUCGCCGCAUGGUGUGUGUGUGGAAAGUUCCGGCGGUGCAGGUUGAGCCCGCGGCCUAGCAGCUGGUUGGUGGGGUGAUGGCCUACCAAGGCGCCGACGGGCAGCCGGCCUGGGAGGGUGACCGGCAACACUGGGACUGAGGCGCGGCCCAGACGCCUACGGGGGGGAGCAGUGGGGAAUCUUGCGCAAUGGGCGAAAGCCUGACGCAGCAACGCCGCGUGGGGGAUGACGGCCUUCGGGUUGUAAACCUCUUUCGACCGGGACGAAGGAUUCGUUUGACGGUACCGGUAGAAGAAGAACCGGCUAACUACGUGCCAGCCGCCGCCGUAAUAC